GACUAUGUAAUAUCUGGAAUAUUACAUUUCCUUCUUUUUUCAGAAAAAAUAUCAACUCAGUUUGCCAAGACUGUCUCAUACGUAUUCACAAAACUAAGCUAUAACCAGUACGACAGAGCGUCACCUAUUUCAACUAGUCAGGACCUUACUAGUCGUUACUUGUUUCAACAAAUAAGAGGAUCUUACUCCAUAUGUCUGUUUCCCUACAUCGUCUCAGAUCUCUACAUUGCCUGCCUCGAUAUAAAUCAUAGAGCUGCGGAGUAUUCACUUCCAUCAAGAUCCAAGUGAAGGGCUUGGCGAUGACAGAGGGGUAGGGCGUGUCGGAAACUUGAAAUACGUGACGCGAAAUUCUUCAAAUAAGUGACGCAGUUGAAAUAACUGACGUUACAAUAAGUGACGUUUUACUGUACGUAUAAGAACGGUACAUCACGGAACUUGGUAUUUCGACCUGGCAACAAGUAUCGGCAGACACAAAUUAGCAUGUGAUUCUUACUGAUUCCAUGUCCAAGAUAUGUAAACUGUGACGCGCAGUGAAAGCAAAACCUGACGAUGAAGAAGCAUUCUCAAAAGAAUCAAGGAAAGACCUUUCUCUUGCUGCACCAUCUUUCCUAGAACAAAGAAGCCAAUUUGAAUGGCUUUAGAAGGACAUAAGGAUGCAUCAGAGAUAGUACUAGAGCAUAUUUAAAGUACAAUAAUAACGUUGGAAGAUACCAAACAGACUGACGUGUGUAUUGGGCAAAUAAUACUAUGAGUGUAUCAUGCGCUGCAUACAUGGUUCACAUACCUGUGUAGUUCUACGUUAGUUUACAAAAUAUUUAAAUGAAUCACUUUAGCUUUAGCAAUAUCGUUUAAUAAUUGCAAACACAUCAAGACUUUGAUUGGCAUUAGUAAUACAGUCUCCAGGUAGAAUUUCUACGGCCAAUGGAGAGCGUGUAUGGAAAUAAAAUAAAAAAGAAGCCAAGUGAGUGAGUCGAUCGACGAAACGAGUAAUAUGAGUGCGUUGGUGCGUUGUCCGAAAAGUAGGUAGAGAUAUACAUAUAUACAGACAACGAAGAAGAGAAGCUGCUAACUGUAAACGCAAAUAUAUAGAACGUAAUUCCAUGUCAUGUUAUAUAGGUAUUUUCAACGUUCACUAAUGAUAAUGACACUCGUGAAGGCGCAUUGAGGGUGCUUACGUAAGGGAUAAUAUGCGAGUACAUUGUUUAUUUGGGUUAUUGUCAGUUUUAUUUGCAAAACUAGCGCAAUGCCAGGAGGCACUGAUGUUUUUAGGACAGUGGCUAGUCGAGCACAGCCAGGCGUAGGGAUACACUGGGCGUUAGCGCGGAAAUUGAAUUACUUUUGUGCAGCUGCAUCUUUUCUACCAAACAAAAAGGAAGGCUGAAACGUCAUUCGAGAUAUUAUUCCUGAACAAAAACCUUUCACAGUGUCUCCAGGUAAUGAAAAUCUUUAUUAUACAAGAAUCUUACAGUAAUAAAAUCCAAAGUCUAGUUGAAACUAGUAGAAAGACUUUUUAUAACACGAACCAAAACCUUUAUAAGGCUGACACACAGCAUCACUGCCAAACACGCAUCCGUUUCCUGUCCCGAAUUUCCGUGUGUGCAAUAAUGGCUAUCCGCCCACGGACCAUAAUGAAAUAGAAGCUUCGCAUGGUAGCCGAUUCAUUAAUGUACAACAACAAUGCCUUUGCCAUUGGUAAUAAAGACAAGAGAGAAAUGAGAAUCGUGAAACGAGUAAGGUUAUGUAUCACAAGUUACAGGAUGAGAAGAAUGAGCUGUUCGUAAAGCUUUAUUUACAUUGUCAAAGGUUUAUCCGGCGCCAUGCUGCAUCCAUCUGUUAAUAUCUAAAUAACGUCGUGCUACUAGCGGCUGUGGUAUUAAUCUUCGGCUGUCCUUGGUACGACCUUGGCCGAUGAGUCGAUUCGUUAUCGAGUCACAGUGGUCAUUGUUACCUGAUUACCGUUACGCCUAAAGGCCACAACUAAACCUGGUAAACCAAUUGACCAUCAGAAUAUCCAAACAAAAAACGGUGAUGAUUUUAAAACUUGAUAUACAUACACGAUCUUAGAUAUUUUUUUUAUACGGCACCCAGACGCCUUCCUCGAGGGUUCCCAAGAUAAAACAAAGCCCUGGGCGGAAAUAUUAUUCCGUAUCUGUCCUCCAGUGCCUGAAGAAUGACGUGGAGCGUCCUCACUGCAGACGAUACUCCCUUGGCUACGUACACUUCUCCUUGUAUACGGUACAACACGGUAGACCCGUCCUCUCUCGUGUCACGAGAGAUGAAAGGCACUCGUCGUUCUACCUCAAAGAAGAGAAGCAGAGGACCCUUGCAGACAAUGGGGACGAGUACAUAUGACGGGCGGAUUGGUUCCUUGCAAAUACACCAGGGGGAUAUCGAGGCUUGGUCCGCCACUAGGAUUUUUCUUAUUUUCGUUACACCUCUGUUUUUCCUUGUCUGAUUUAACAUACGUAUCAAAAUGAAAUUUCCAUGAUACUUAUAAACCGUGGACUCAUAUAAAAUGGACGUACUCGGGUAACUCUAGUGGAAAAAACUUCCUUGCUCAAUCCAAAGAAUCAGAUUAAUCGUGGAACGACUAGACGAAUUUUCUGAGGACUCAGCCGGGACGCAAGUGACUCAUGAUUCUUGAUCAGCUUGAACGAUGGCGAGAGGAUAACCGAUGGAGUGUACACAUUCUGAUUACGUAUACGGUUGACGUCUAGCGCAACACUUCACGUCCUGUCCGUUGUUUCCACCCAGGGAGAAUAGCAGAAAAACAAAGCCUGUCGAUAUCAAUGUACUUUUGCUUGCAGAUACUUAAUCGUCACCCUGCAUGUAUAAUACAAUGACAAAUUUAUAUGGAUGUUGAGGUACUCGUGAAUUGCAUGUACGUUCAGGUUUUACUUUUUGGUUCCAUAGAAUUUCUAAUUUAAUUUCCAACUAAACUGUCUUUAUCCACGUUUAAGAUUCUUAUGACCACAUACGCCAGUCUUCUUGGAUCUAUCAGACAGCAUCCAUAUACGGGCGAAUGAAUUCACGUGCAAAAGGAAUAAAUUUUCCAAUUACCAACUGACAUCUAUAUCCACCUUUGCUCAGACUGCAAACGCUGUGUGUAUAUACAUCACGUGCAUAAUAGUUGCUACUGGUGAGGCUGAAUUAGCAGAGAUAGGUAUUGUCACGCAUUAGUGCCCGCGACGAACUGCUCUUAUGUACAGGGUGGGACAUUUGAAUUCCAUGAAAAAUUACGUGCAGUCGAGAGUCUUGCUAGAUAUUUGCUCAAGAUGACUGGGUCUCGGUAGUCUCCCGUGUGGAAUCCAGAUUUUUGCAUGCACAUACGGUGCUCCAUUAUUCUGCAACAAUUCAUUUAUAUUUAGUAGACGUUCAGGUAAUUCCAUGUUGUAACGGUUUCCGAUCGAUCGAUAGAUUAACAAGACCCGUUGUAUAGGAAAUGCUUUGGUGAAACUUACGGAGUUUAAACGGCUUUCCCGUGCAUUACAGCCUUUCUUGGAAAACCUUUCCUUCUGGCACUCUCUAUAUUGAAUUAGUCAUUAGUUUUUUCAUCUCAAUACUGUUUUUAUAUUUGUAUGAAUAUAUUGCGUUCGGUCAUUGAACAGCUGACUGGUUGAUUUUAUUCAUUCAAAUUUGAAAUGUGUUCCAUGUACGUUUCUCUCGAUACAUAAUAUCUCUGUAAAUAUAUGGGUUUGCAAUUUAAUUCAUUGUACAUGAAUUCCUGUGGAAUACGUGACAGCCGGUAAUUAUUAACGAAUUUUAUCCGCUAUAACCGCCGGAAACUAUUAAGGAUACUCGGUGAUCUCUGACACAAUAUCGAGCCUUUUGCGACGAAUGACUCACGUACUAACAGUUUUCUUCGAAUAGGAAACUAUUCUUCUAAACUAUACUUCAGAACUAUUGUACCACCAGAGGAUGGUCUACCUUUGGAAUUAAUAGAAAUCAAAUGGACAAAAUCAUCUUUAGGUGGUGAAAUAAUCCUGAGUAUCCGUGUAUAGUAGUAGCUAAAAAUAUUAACACUUGUAUUCUGUACAUUGGAAACGGUUCUUGAGGCUUUUUUGUUUUUAGAAAAAAAAUCAGAUUAUUGUUGAUCCUACUGAAGCUUGGAGACAGACAAUUGUACGGAUUUUCGGUUAAUAAUAAUGAAUUUUAGACUGAAUUACAGCUAAAGAGAAAAAACGUUUCUACAACCGUACCGGAUGUGCCCAACUGUUAAUUCUCAUUAUUUAGAUCUAAUACACUUGGAAUAAUGAACACCGAUGCAAAGCCAUAUACGCCUGCGCAGCAUGAUUUGCAGAUUUAAGUCUUCCUGAGGAACAGAUUGAGCCAGGUUCUGUCUAGCGCGUUUCUAUUCGAGCCACUAGCGCAAACAGAUGAUAUCGUAAUAUCUAGUUGUAACUUCAAUCUUCAUGGAUUCCUGGAGCCCAGUCUGAUAUGUCUUUGGAGUAACUUGAGCGCUGCACAUCUAAGGUUAGGUCGAUCGAUGCUACCGUCUGGCUCAAACGGUCAGGAACGUUGAGUGAGGUUGCGGCCUACCGGGAAAAUCCGAUUUGGUGAAUGUUCAGAUUUCUCAGUACAGCCACGAAUCAGUAAGCUUCAACCACGUUGCCAGUGACAGUCUCAUAUAUAAUUUUGCCAGAAAGAUGAAUGAAUUUUCUCUUUGAGGUAAAAACGGUAUUUAAAAAUACUAGCGCCAUGCCACGAUCUGCGACCGAUCGAUUUCUUUUCUAUUACAUAAUUGUACGAGUAGUAUAUGAAUUACGUCAGUGACUUAAAAUUAUUAUUAAAACAAUGUCAAAUUUAUGUUUAGAUAUAUCAACUAGAAUUUCAGCAUUCAUCAACAAUCGAAACGUACGUCGUGCGAGCGUCAAACAACAAUAAUAAAAUUCAUAGAUGAGAAUGUAAGGAGAGUUCCGCGUUAGGAAUGGGGCUUGACGUCAUUCGCUGACGCAGACAGCCCAGGUAUAUCUUUAUAGGUUACCAUUAUCCAACGAGCAGUGGUUCAAUACUGGACGCCGCUAAGUCACGGACAGAUACUAUUGCGCUGAAUAAUAUAUCUAUAGAAACUAUGAAUAUUUGUACAGUAAAUGAUUAGAUCAGUAUUGGAAGCCUUAAUUAACCUAUAUCAAAGUGGUUCUUUCGAUAAAGAAGUUGAUGACACUUGACCCAGGCUCUACGCACAAGAGUAUUGAGAGGUGCUGCCUCUCUCGGUGAAACUAAGCACACCGUCGGUAUUGCAGAGUUCUGCUAAGCACUGUCGACACUCGUCGAUUCAAAUUCUCGCAUACGAAAAUAAACAGAAACAGAACGCCUCGUGUUUACGGAACGUUGUAACAGGUGUUUUCCGCAUCUGGAAGGGAGGAUUCACAGGUGGUACCAAACGCAACCAUGCUGCUGAGUUUGCAUGACUGAUUAAAAAAAGACACGAUCGAAGUGUCAGAAGAUUUUUUGACCAUCAAUUUGUUCAUAUAAUAAAAAUAACAAUCUUAUCCAUAUGGAUAGAAAUUGAUGACUGCAGUAAAAACGAGUCAGCCUGUCAAUUUUCUAUAAAAACUUUUUCAUCGAGAAACUCUUCAGCCAUAUCAGGUAUGCUUCGGGUCUCUACGUCGUGUACCUCUCUUACAGCAGAAUAUAACAUUCUAAAGAAAGGUCCUCUUUGUGUACCCAAAAGUUAACAUAGUUCACCCUUACCAGUUUCUCCUAAACACCUGCAGAAGUAAAAUGGCUGGACAGGUGCAAUCCUGUGUCUGUUCCCUGGAGUUAUGCAUGCAAGUACACCCUGGCAUAUCCACCAUUUUAUAAUUUCUUCGUAGUAGCUUUUAUACCAGUAUCUAACGUAGCAGCAGAAUAAUAAAUUGGACUAUAGUAAAAUGCAUGCGUCGAUAUGAUGAAAAUAUCUUUAUUGAACCAUAGUAGCAAUUCAAUUGUCCCCGGUCGAUGUUCCUCUUAUUCUAUCGACGCCAGAACACAUAUUAAUUUAUAUAUAUAAGAUUUCUAUAUAUACAGUAUCAUAGCCAUACCGUUCUCCUGCGAAAGUCUCAUAAAAUCGAAACGAGUCGCCGUCCCGUUUUUACUGUGCUGGCAGCAUGAGUCAGUAAGAGUCGAGGCGAGUGCUUUAACAGCGACGGACUAUAGACGAAUCAAUAUGGUCUAAGUUUCGCUGGUUAAUAAGAAGCGCCAGGCGGUAUUCACGGUCGGGCUUCGGGACUUGAGACAACUGCGGAUCACAUCGCGCUUCAUAUUCAUUGCGUUUCCUGGCUGACUUUUACGUCAGGCUUAUCGCGAUUUAGAUGGCGAGAAAAAUACGAGAGAGAGAGAGAGAGAGAGAGAGAAAAGAAGAAAAAAAGGCUACAUGUGUCAGGCUAGCGUGGCCUAACUGGCUUGUUUCCAGGCCGUGCCGCAAGAGGUCAGGCGCUACGUUCUCCGAGGCCACACGACAUGGAUCGGUGACGUAAGAGUAUAAAACCACUAUAAAGGCCUCUCUCGGUUCAUUAGUGUGAACUGCGGAGCAUAGCAUCCUCCAUCCGCUGCUUAUAAACUGUAACGUUCACCGCAAACUUCACUUAAAGUCACUGACUUAAAUCCAAUGAAAAUCGUCCGACUUCCAUUUCUGUUUCUACGUAGAGGCUCGGACGCUCCGAGUUCCCAAGGUGCUUUGACGUUUCUCGCUGCGUAGGAAGAUAGAGAAGUUCUUGUCGGUGACCGAGUUCGAAGUCGAGUACAAGUAGAUAAGGAUGACUUUCGGGGUCGACUUCAGAUCAGAAGUCGUCGGUAAAUCGUACCUCGACCAGAUACGUACAAUCGGGCGCUCUUAAUUACCGACCGAAUUCUUCAGUAACGCGUAAGGAAUUUUUUAACCACUCGACGUAACGAACACCAUGCUCUCGAACUUAGACUGAAAAUUAACAAAAAGGUUGGACACCCCGCGACUACUGUACAGUCAUUAAUCACGCUCGUAAUUAUUAAACGGCGAAGGGUCGUUGAAACUAAUUGAGUUCAAUAUCGAAUUAAGAAUAGCGUAAGAGAUGAUACUUAGUGAGUCAGUGCCAUCUGCUAUGUUUAUACGUAUGUGUUCUAUGGUUUCUGACCGGUAAAGUAGUCUACAUGUUUUUUUUUGUAUUUACUUAAAUUUAAUACACCUUAUAUCUAUAUUACUGUAUACCCGAGUACAGUACCUAUAAAAUAUUAUGCGCCCUUCUCUUCAAAGAAAAACUUUCCCUCUCGACCAUUCGUAGACGCUUCGAUAUACGUCACGGAGGAUGUACUCCUCUAUGUCGAAUACACGAGUGAGCAAGAGGAAGAUAUAAAAAGAAAAAAUUUUUAAAAAAUAAAGGAGAGACACACCCACGCGAUUCUUCGUAAAAGCUCGCGUGCCAUGAAUACACGCCCAUUUGUUUACCUGCAUCGCUUUACGAAUAGAACGCGUUUUUGUCUCUCUACUUUUUCUAUACUCCCGUCUCUCCUUAUGCUCGCUCGAUCUUUAUACCUAUACGGCGCUCAUGAAGAUAGUACGAGAAUUAACCGCAAUCCGAAUGAUUCACCGUCAUCAAGAGCGACUCUGGCUUUCCCCUGUGCUCACUUAACCGGCAUUCAGGAUCUCGAAUCAGCCAGCUCCGAGUGCCAGAACGAUUCCCAGAAACAGCAACGCGGGAUACGUAACAAGAAAUAGCAAUGCAAGUUAUAAUCAGUGAAGAUAUAUAGCCAUUAAUUAUAAAUUUGUUAUCGAUCACUGGUAAAUACCAAUGAACAUUUCUAUGGUAGAUUAAUCCUUAAAGUAUACAUAUGUUUAUGAGAAAGAAAUAUACAUAAAUAUUGGCAAA